UACAGAGGGUGCGAGCGUUGUCCGGAAUCACUGGGCGUAAAGGGCGCGUAGGCGGCCCGGUAAGUAGGGGGUGAAAUCGUGCGGCUCAACCGUACGACUGCCUUCUAAACUGCCAGGCUGGAGCACAGUAGAGGCAGGUGGAAUUCCCGGUGUAGCGGUGGAAUGCGUAGAGAUCGGGAAGAACAUCGGUGGCGAAGGCAGGUCUCUGGGCAUUAACUGACGCUGAGGAGCGAAAGCAUGGGGAGCGAACAGG
rnacentral:rRNA from 1 species